rnacentral:rRNA from 1 species
CCCUUAGAUGUUCUGGGCCACACGCGCGCUACACUGACCAGUGCAACAAGCAUCCGUCCUUGGCCGACAGGCCCGGGCAAUCUUUGAACGCUGGUCGUGAUGGGGAUAGACUUUUGCAAUUUUUGGUCUUCAACGAGGAAUUCCUAGUAAACGCAAGUCAUCAACUUGCAUUGAUUACGUCCCUGCCCUUUGUACACACCGCCCGUCGCACCUACCGAUUGAAUGGUCCGGUGAAGCCUCCGGAUUGGCGCGCACCUCGGUGCCGCCGAGAAGUUGGCUAAACCUUACCAUUUAGAGGAAGGUGAAGUCGUAACA